GACAGAGGGUGCAAACGUUGCUCGGAAUUACUGGGCGUAAAGCGCGUGUAGGUGGAUUGGUGUGUCAGAUGUGAAAGCCCUGGGCUCAACCCAGGAACUGCACCUGAAACUACCAGUCUUGAGUGGUGGAGAGGGAAGUGGAAUUCGUGGUGUAGAGGUGAAAUUCGUAGAUAUCAGGAGGAACACCAGUGGCGAAGGCGGCUUCCUGGACACCAACUGACGCUGAGACGCGAAAGCGUGGGGAGCAAACAGG
rnacentral:rRNA from 1 species